GUGCUAAGGUAGCAUAAUAAUUUGCCUCCUAAUUAGAGGAUAGAAUGAAUGUGAAAACAAUAAGCGCACUGUCUCCUAUACUAAAAUAAAAAUUUAUCCAAGGGUGAAAAAGCCCCUAUAUAAAAAAAAGACAAAAAGACCCUAGAAGCUUAAAAACAUCUAUAAUAAAUUAAUAGCAUUUUUUAGCUGGGAGGGCAAAAAGUUAACAACACACUUUUCAAUAAAAGAUCACACAUCAAAACAACUUAACCCCAACAAGAAUAUAAGUAAGCUACUCUAGGGGUAACAGGCUAAUACUCCUUAAGAGUACACAUUGACAGGAGUGAUUGGCACCUCGAUGUUGGCUUAGGAAUAUUAUUUUAUGCAGAAGUAAAAAUAAUCGGUUUGUUCAACCCUUAAUUUCCUACGUGAUCUGAG
rnacentral:rRNA from 1 species